rnacentral:rRNA from 2 species
AAAUUGAAGAGUUUGAUCAUGGCUCAGAUUGAACGCUGGCGGCAGGCCUAACACAUGCAAGUCGAACGGUAACAGGAAGCGCUUGCUGCUUCGCUGACGAGUGGCGGACGGGUGAGUAAUGUCUGGGAAACUGCCUGAUGGAGGGGGAUAACUACUGGAAACGGUAGCUAAUACCGCAUAACGUCGCAAGACCAAAGAGGGGGACCUUCGGGCCUCUUGCCAUCGGAUGUGCCCAGAUGGGAUUAGCUUGUUGGUGGGGUAAC